GAUGAAGAACGUAGCAAAAUGCGAUACUUGGUGUGAAUUGCAGAAUCCCGUGAACCAUCGAGUUUUUGAACGCAAGUUGCGCCCGAAGCCUUUUGGCCGAGGGCACGUCUGCCUGGGCGUCACGCAUCGCGUCGCCCCCCACACUUCUCCGUAAAGGGAACAUGUGUUUUGGGGGCGGAUAUUGGUCUCCCGUGCUCAUGGCGUGGUUGGCCGAAAUAGGAGUCCUUUCGAUGGACGCACGAACUAGUGGUGGUCGUAAAAACCCUCGUCUUUUGUUUCGUGCUGUUGGUCGCAAGGUAAACUCUUUAAAAACCCCAAUGUGUCGUCUCUUGACGACGCUUCGACCGCGACCCCAGGUCAGGCGGGACUACCCGCUGAGUUUAAGCAUAUCAAUAAGCGGAGGA
rnacentral:misc_RNA from 1 species